rnacentral:rRNA from 1 species
CCUACGGGGGGCUGCAGUGAGGAAUAUUGGUCAAUGGACGAGAGUCUGAACCAGCCAAGUAGCGUGAAGGAUGACGGCCCUACGGGUUGUAAACUUCUUUUGUCAGGGAGCAAUUUGGUCCACGCGUGGGCUUAGCGAGAGUACCUGAAGAAAAAGCAUCGGCUAACUCCGUGCCAGCAGCCGCGGUAAUACGGAGGAUGCGAGCGUUAUCCGGAUUUAUGGGGUUUAAGGGGUGCGUAGGCGGAAUAUCAAGUCAGCGGUAAAAAUUCGGGGCUCAACCCCGUCGUGCCGUUGAAACUGAUGUUCUUGAGUGGGCGAGAAGUAUGCGGAAUGCGUGGUGUAGCGGUGAAAUGCAUAGAUAUCACGCAGAACUCCGAUUGCGAAGGCAGCAUACCGGCGCCCAACUGACGCUGAAGCACGAAAGCGUGGGUAUCGAACAGGAUUAGAUACCCGAGUAGUC